ACGGAGUUUAUAACAUUAGCGAGAUGAAUGAUAAAUAAAUCAAGAGUCGAAUAAGUUUAGAUAGUUAAUGUGAUAAGACCCGAAAGAUAGUGAACUAUAUUUGUACAGAUCGAAGUUAGAAGAAAUUCUAAUGGAGGAUUCAACUGGUAGUGAUGUACAAUUCCUUCAGUGGAUAUGAAUAUAGGGGCGAAAGACCAAUCGAACUAUCUAGUAGCUGGUUUUCCUCGAAAUGAUUUUUAGAUCAGCAACGUCUUUUUAAAUAUAGGAAUGGUAUGUACGGAUGAUAAGGAUAAUUUAAUCAUUAAACUCGAAAAUACCAAUAAAUUAAUUAUGUAGUAAUAUAAUUAAUAAAAAUUCUAAUAUGACGUUAGUGGGCGACUCGUGGUAAGCAUGAGUUGCGAUAUAGAAUGAACUUUACGAAAGGAUAAAUAGUCUAAAAUUUAAUAAAGAUUGCAGAAAAAAGAUACUAAGAUAAAGACAAUCAGGGGGUGGUCAUGGAAGUCGACAUCCCUUAAAGAGUGUGUUAUAACUCACUGAUCAAAUCUUAGAUUUUUGAAAAUUGAUGACGCUUAUAAAUUUAUAUGAUACCUUUAUGACUUUAGUUAAGUAGAGGAACAUAAAUAUUAUAAUGAAGGUUAAAAUUGAUUUUGAUUGGAAUAAUGUUUAUAGCAGAUCGUGGUAGAAGUAGCAUCAUUUUUAAUGUACAUUACUGAAGGGUUCAUUCUUUUUAUAGAAGAAGGUUAUACGACUCUAAUUUAAAAGGGAAAUUGUUUAUUUUUUAACAAAAUUACAAUGAAGUAUUUCAAAGAGGUAACUCAAUAUAAUCACAACGGGUUUUAAUUAAUGAAUAGUGUAAAUUUACUAUUUAUAAAUAAUCCAUUAAAAGUAAUAUGAAGAAAUGGAAAGAAAAAAGCUUAGAUUAAAAGAAAAGAAAUACUGUCGUACCAUAAUCCGUAACAGGUCAGGAAGCUUUGUAAGCUAAUGUAUAAGUUAAGGUAAGUAAGGGAAAUCGGCAAGCUAGAUGAGUAUCUUCGGAAAAAUCAUUGGCUCUAAUAUUAUUAGAACUGUUUCUUACUCGUGGAAUCUAACUGUUUAAUAAAAACGUAGCUUUGUGUUUUAAUACAAAGUGAAUUCUGCCCAGUGCUUAGAUUGUUAAUAAAGUAAUUUGAAGUAAGCAUAAGUAAACGGCGGGAGUAACUAUGACUCUCUUAAGGUAGCGUAAUUCCUCGUCAUUUAAUUGGUGACGCGCAUGAAUGGAUUAAUGAGAUUCCAACUGUCCCUACUUACAGCUUUGCGAACCUACAGCCAAGGAAACGGGCUUGGGAUAUUCAGCGGGGAAAGAAGACCCUGUUGAGCUUGACUCUAGUCUGUUUAUAGUUUUUAUAUUAAUAUUGUAGUGAGGUGGUAGAUUAAAGUGUGAAUUCCACUAAUAUUGAUUUUGAAAAUUAUAUUUAUUUUGUAGAUGGGGAGUUUGACUGGGGCGGUACAACUGCUAAAAUUUAACGCAGUUGUCCUAAGGUUAAUUCAGUGUGGAUAGAAACCUCACAUAGAGUAUAAGGGCAAAAAUUAGCUUUAUAAUGUUAUAUGAAUAAUGUUAUCAGGAAACUGUGGCCUAGAGAUCCUUUAAUAGUCUUAUAUAGAAUUAACGGUGACAGAAAAGUUACCACAGGGAUAACUGGCUUGUGGCGGUGGAGCGAUCACAGCGACCCCGCUUUUUGAUCCUUCGAUGUUGGUUCUUCCGAGAUUGCAGGUGCAUAAUUCUGCUUGAUUUGGAUUGUUCACCCGUUAAUAGGGAACGUGAGCUGAGUUUAGACCGUCGCGAGACAGGUUAGUUUUACCCUACUGAUAUGAGUUUUAGAGUAGACGAAAAUAGUACGAGAGGAAGAAUUCGUCCUGACCACUAGUCAAGGUUUAAUUCGUUAGAGUGAACCACAGCCACGUCAGAAGAAUAAUGGUUGAAUGCAUCUAAAUCAGAAUACUUACUUGAAAAUUAUAUUUAUUUUGUA
rnacentral:rRNA from 1 species